rnacentral:rRNA from 1 species
AUGAGGAACUUGAAAGACGAAAGAACUAAGAUUUUUCCCUCAACUACGAGGGGAGGUAAGGAACUGCAAUCUAGCUCUGCACUAGAUUCUCCUUCUGUUUUGAGUAAGCUUGCGACACCUAAACCUGCUACUGUUAUGAACUCUGAUAUGUCGCAUGUUAUUGAUGAUGCCACUUCUGCUAUGCACGAUACUUAUGAUGAAACUACUUCUGUGCUUGAUACUACUGUACCAUUAGGUGAAUUUGUUGAUGAACAACUUGCUAGGGUUAGAGAGAAUGAAAUAAUUGAAGAUGAUAUCAUUGAAGAUAGUGAUGAUGAAGGUUCUCCCCCUAAAUAUUAA